GAUUGAACGCUGGCGGCAGGCCUAACACAUGCAAGUCGAGCGGUAGCACAGAGAGCUUGCUCUCGGGUGACGAGCGGCGGACGGGUGAGUAAUGUCUGGGAAACUGCCUGAUGGAGGGGGAUAACUACUGGAAACGGUAGCUAAUACCGCAUAACGUCGCAAGACCAAAGUGGGAGACCUUCGGGCCUCAUGCCAUCAGAUGUGCCCAGAUGGGAUUAGCUAGUAGGUGGGGUAACGGCUCACCUAGGCGACGAUCCCUAGCUGGUCUGAGAGGAUGACCAGCCACACUGGAACUGAGACACGGUCCAGACUCCUACGGGAGGCAGCAGUGGGGAAUAUUGCACAAUGGGCGCAAGCCUGAUGCAGCCAUGCCGCGUGUGUGAAGAAGGCCUUCGGGUUGUAAAGCACUUUCAGCGGGGAGGAAGGCGUUAAGGUUAAUAACCUUGGCGAUUGACGUUACCCGCAGAAGAAGCACCGGCUAACUCCGUGCCAGCAGCCGCGGUAAUACGGAGGGUGCAAGCGUUAAUCGGAAUUACUGGGCGUAAAGCGCACGCAGGCGGUCUGUCAAGUCGGAUGUGAAAUCCCCGGGCUCAACCUGGGAACUGCAUUCGAAACUGGCAGGCUAGAGUCUUGUAGAGGGGGGUAGAAUUCCAGGUGUAGCGGUGAAAUGCGUAGAGAUCUGGAGGAAUACCGGUGGCGAAGGCGGCCCCCUGGACAAAGACUGACGCUCAGGUGCGAAAGCGUGGGGAGCAAACAGGAUUAGAUACCCUGGUAGUCCACGCCGUAAACGAUGUCGAUUUGGAGGUUGUGCCCUUGAGGCGUGGCUUCCGGAGCUAACGCGUUAAAUCGACCGCCUGGGGAGUACGGCCGCAAGGUUAAAACUCAAAUGAAUUGACGGGGGCCCGCACAAGCGGUGGAGCAUGUGGUUUAAUUCGAUGCAACGCGAAGAACCUUACCUGGUCUUGACAUCCACAGAACUUUCCAGAGAUGGAUUGGUGCCUUCGGGAACUGUGAGACAGGUGCUGCAUGGCUGUCGUCAGCUCGUGUUGUGAAAUGUUGGGUUAAGUCCCGCAACGAGCGCAACCCUUAUCCUUUGUUGCCAGCGGUUCGGCCGGGAACUCAAAGGAGACUGCCAGUGAUAAACUGGAGGAAGGUGGGGAUGACGUCAAGUCAUCAUGGCCCUUACGACCAGGGCUACACACGUGCUACAAUGGCAUAUACAAAGAGAAGCGACCUCGCGAGAGCAAGCGGACCUCAUAAAGUAUGUCGUAGUCCGGAUUGGAGUCUGCAACUCGACUCCAUGAAGUCGGAAUCGCUAGUAAUCGUAGAUCAGAAUGCUACGGUGAAUACGUUCCCGGGCCUUGUACACACCGCCCGUCACACCAUGGGAGUGGGUUGCAAAAGAAGUAGGUAGCUUAACCUUCNGGGAGGGCGCUUACCACUUUGUGAUUCAUGACUGGGGUGAAGUCGUAACAAGG
rnacentral:rRNA from 1 species